rnacentral:rRNA from 1 species
AUUGAACGCUGGCGGCAGGCCUAACACAUGCAAGUCGAGCGGAUGACGGGAGCUUGCUCCUUGAUUCAGCGGCGGACGGGUGAGUAAUGCCUAGGAAUCUGCCUGGUAGUGGGGGGCAACGUUUCGAAAGGAACGCUAAUACCGCAUACGUCCUACGGGAGAAAGCAGGGGACCUUCGGGCCUUGCGCUAUCAGAUGAGCCUAGGUCGGAUUAGCUAGUAGGUGAGGUAAUGGCUCACCUAGGCGACGAUCCGUAACUGGUCUGAGAGGAUGAUCAGUCACACUGGAACUGAGACACGGUCCAGACUCCUACGGGAGGCAGCAGUGGGGAAUAUUGGACAAUGGGCGAAAGCCUGAUCCAGCCAUGCCGCGUGUGUGAAGAAGGUCUUCGGAUUGUAAAGCACUUUAAGUUGGGAGGAAGGGUUGUACGUUAAUACCGUGCAAUUUUGACGUUACCGACAGAAUAAGCACCGGCUAACUCUGUGCCAGCAGCCGCCGUAACAC